AGAGUUUGAUCCUGGCUCAGAUUGAACGCUGGCGGCGUGCCUAACACAUGCAAGUCGAGCGGUAACAGGUGUAGCAAUACAUGCUGACGAGCGGCGAACGGGUGAGUAAUGCUUUGGAAUCUUCCCAGUAGUGGGGAAUAACCAGUCGAAAGAUUGGCUAAUACCGCAUACGUCUGUGAAGGGAAAGCGGGGGCUCGUAAGACCUCGCGCUAUUGGAUGAGCCAAAGUCGGAUUAGCUAGUUGGUGGGGUAAUGGCCUACCAAGGCGACAAUCCGUAGCUGGUCUGAGAGGACGACCAGCCACACCGGAACUGAGACACGGUCCGGACUCCUACGGGAGGCAGCAGUGGGGAAUAUUGGACAAUGGGGGAAACCCUGAUCCAGCGACGCCGCGUGUGUGAAGAAGGCCUGCGGGUUGUAAA
rnacentral:rRNA from 1 species